GCUUACGUGGCAACAGUUCCAGAUUAAAACUGCGUAUUUUUCAGAUGCGGAGGACGAGAAGAUACAA